ACCAUACUGCGGUUCGAUUCUUUUGUAUCCUAAUGAGUCAGGGCUUCCUAUUGCCCCUGAGUGUUUUAUGGGCUGUCUGCCCUCGAGCGUUUUACGGGCUCUUGGCUGCCUAGACCUCUCUCUAGGCUAGCUGGGCUGGUUUAGUGCCAGCAGUUAAUUCUCGAGGUUGAUGCCUCUUAUGAUUGCCCCUGAUUCUUUGUUUG
rnacentral:lncRNA from 1 species